GGCCGCGGCUGAGGGACGGCUGAGGGCCGGGGGGGGGGCGGCGCCCGGAAUUUAAAGUUCCUUAUUUAAAAUAUCGCUCUGGGAGUCUCGGCUCCGGGAAACGUGGCAGGCUUGUGCUUCGGAGCACUCACUGCUGCACGGGACCAGGAGUCCCUGACCCUGCCUGGACCCAGGGGCUUUGCUCACUCACGUCUUUGUUCCUGACAAUAUCAAGUACAGCAACACCCUCUGGCUGCUUACGCGAUCAUUAGAACCACGCACAGAAACUUACUACCAGGCAGCUUAGAAGAGAGACAAGAAAUCUGUGCUGUAUCUGUAGGACUGAGAGGGACUGAGAAGGCAUCCGCUGUCCAGCUACCUCCAGAGGCAGCAACCAGGAGAACACUUCUGUGGUUGUAUCAGCAGGAGCAAGCAUAAAGAGGCAUUUUAUUUCUAUAAAAGUGAGGAUGAUUUCUCCCCUCUUUAAAGACAUCAGGAGAAGAUGAAGACAGUCUUGUCACGCUAACCUUGUGACAAAGUAGAGUCACCAUACAGGAAAGCCAUGCUGAGCUGAGAUUCUCCAGGCCUGUCUCAGCCUGUUACUGUCCUUCUGUGGACCCUUUGCUGCCACACCACCAGAAGGGACCAGGCAGAGACUCCCAAGCUUCAGGGAGGAGGUAAUAGGAAGUGAGAUUAAAUGAGCUGGAAGCUGAAGGAUCACAGGACUGAGGACCCAAGCCCUGCUUGCUGGGGUGCAGUUUGCACACCCAUGGGCAAGGCAGUUUCUGGUGCAAGAGGCUGUUUGCCAUAGCUGCAGAGGAAAUCAGCUGUGUCACCCCACAGACUUUUCUGUCAGUAGGAAACUGUGGUGAAGGCUCAUAUUAUAAGCAGCAGCAUUGUAUUGACAAGGGUUUCCAAUACAAAGUUGACUUAGAAGAAACCAAGGUGCUGCAGGGGUACAACAAUGUGUUUGAUAACACCAAUAGAGAUCAUUGCUCCUGUCCUGAUGGUCUCAGAUCUUGUUCUCCCUACAGGACAGAGGUGAGCAAAAGCAUGGUAGGUAUCAUCCAUUAUUUUUCACUCUUCUGUUUUUAAAUGAAUGUCAUUGUUGCUGGCAUUUACUUCCAUUUUACCUUGCCUUAAAUAUGACAUCCGCUUACUCUGCCUGUGAAAUACAGGGGUGGAAUGUAGUCCUACUCACACAAAACACUUUGGUGCAAAGAAAACUGUUAUGGGCCCAAAAUGAUGGGGAAGUUUUAUUUUAUAAAGAUGCUCAAGUGAGCUGUGCCAUCAAAAGGAUACAAAGUCGAAGCCACAUCCUGCCGGCUUGGCUAAUCCAUAAAAGAGCUUUCAGUGUUUUCCCUUGGAGUAACAGCUUUAAAUUUUAAUAAGCUGUAGUGUACUUUCACCGGAUGUAAUAAGCUGAUACAAAGUUUAAAUGGGGUUAAGUAAGUAGAUACCUAGGAGAAAGGAACAUAAAAGACAAAAUAUUUCCUCUCUUUUACAAGUUUAUUUCACUGGGUUUAUUUUGGGAAAAAAUAUUUUGUUCAAAUUAUUUUUUUGUUCUCUGGAUGAUUCAGUGUCAGGGGAGGGAGUAAUAUUUGAAGUAACUACAGAGCGACUUGAACAGAGAGGACGCUCAGUAUAAAUAAAUAAAUUUAUUGAGUUAUUAAUUCAGGUUACUUUGCCAUUUAAUUUUAGGACAGUUACCAAGUCACAGGCAUGUGUGCCUGAACGUGACCCACAUAAUCCUGUAAAACAGGGAUUUGUAGGAAGACUCCUUGCAAGGUCAUCCAGCCCACCUGUACCCAAGGCAGGAUCGAUUCUGUUAAGUCUUUCUGGGCAGAGUUUUGUUGAGCCUGUUCCUGGAGCCCUCAUGGAGGGCUGCAGCUGCAGGGAGUGACCCCAGGGCUGGCACUCAGGUUCCCUGCUCCUGCAGUGGCUGCCCUGCCUUCCCUGUAAGCCAUACCCAUGUUACUGCUGGGAAAGGCUUUAUCUGCUUCCCCUCCACUGCUCCAGGUGGGCCCAGCCUCCCCCAGCCCACUGGCUCCAGCUGCUUCCCUUUUCCCCACAGCUGCCUUCUAGAUACCCUGAGCAGACCAAAACAGCACUCAGAAACACCAUCUGGGGUGAUGUCCUGAGACAGACCAAAGCCAAGCUCUACUUUUUUGUGUGUUUUCUGUUUGCAAAGGUGGGAUAAAGAACUUUUUGGGCAUGGGAUGUGCAAUGCCAUGCUUGUGCUGGAGUAAGUGAGGUGGUUUGUACUCUGCACCAUGACCCACUGGUUGCUCUGUCCUGACUGUGUCAUGCCUGGGGACCCCUGAAAACAGGCAGGAGCUGCGGGGUGGGGAUUUUUUAUUACUGGCAGUGCUGUAGAUAACAGAGGUGUAUGGGAUUUUACUGAAUGUGUUUGUUUGCUUGUAUCUGUGUAGCCUACUGAAAUGGCUCCAAAACAUUCUCAGCUAAAAGCGUGAGCUGCUCCAUUUUGAGCUUAAAAAGUCAUUUCUGUACCCAGGAGCUGUACUCAUUCUUGGUGGAGUGGGCAUAGUAACACACACUGUGCAGUGGAUUAUACUUAUGUGAUUAUAGCCUCUAGGCAACAACCUGGUGCUUAAGAAAUGAGUCAGUCAGAAAGACCAAGGCAGAGGGAAUCAGAUUCAGCCACGAUAAGAUUUGCUUCCAAAAGAUCUGGACUGAAGUAUACAGCAUUCCUUCAAUAUAUGCUUGUCCUAAUAGCCAAGUAAACUGCACAUGCAGGAAUAUUUUACAUUACUCAAUGUCUCACAACAGUCUAAAGAAGCAAUAACCACACACAAGGUCUUGCAAUAUGACAGGUUAGUUGGGUACAGAAAGGCAGGAAUAGCUGGGAGACGUGAGUGAAAGCCCAGCCAGGCUGGUGAUAGCUGUGUUAGUGCAGGGAGAUCUGCCUAUGCAGGUUCCUGGGAAAUACAUCCAGGAAAAGGGAAGAGACAGGAUGAGAAGGCAAGAAAUGCAUGUGGGGAAGCAGUGGCAGGAAGAGAAAAGAACAAAUGAGAACUGGCAAGUUGAUAAAAGAACAAAAGGGCUUUGUCUCUCAUUAAAGGCAGCUAACUACAGAAAUCAUUUUCCCAUGCAAGCAAUUACUGCAGUUACCCCAGGGAUAGUAUGUGGUUGGAAAUGGGAAGACGGGUUCUUUACAUUCAUAACUGGGUCUGGCAAGUGCUCCACCAAUAUGGCUCAUGGUGCUGUGGGCCAUAUCAGGCAAGCAGAGGAAUUGAAACUUGAUUGUGGAGAUAGAUGGAUUCCCUGUUUUAAAAAUUAUCUUCCAUCUGUAUGCAGGGUUAAGCCACCAGCCAGUGGAACAGAAAGAACAGAGGCUUCUAAAAGGUGACAGGAGGUUUGGUUCAUUCCUCUUUCACUGCUGACUGUAGCUGUUGACAGCAGCUUACAGCAGUCAGUGCAGUCACAGUCACAUAGGCAUGAGUCAGGUAAAAAUCAGACUCAGACUGAGAUUCCCUUUCAGUCUGAUUUUCAGAAAUGCUGAGUGCAGGCAGCUCCUGUCUGUGUCUGACAGUGCUUUUCACCCUGUAGAAUCAGCUUUUGGCAAUCAGCUUUUGGUGUUCUGUUUUGGCUGAGAGAAAUUCGUAACAAGAUGAAUGCUCAUGAUCUCAUCUUAGAUCCUAGACUUUAUUUCAUGAGUGACCAAGUCAUGACACCAAUGAGGUCUCAGUCUGACAAUCUCCUGUUGCCACUGCUCAGCUGACCUUAGCCCUGGGUAUGAAUUUCGGUGUCUUGAGGCUCUCCAUUUACUGGCACAAACCUAUCUCAUUGCUUGUCCUGUAAGUGUUUUGACAUCAGCCACUCCAAAAUUAGAAACUGAUGAUACGGAAAGCUUAAUAACAUUAAAGAAAUGCCAACCCAUCUUCUCUGCUGCCUUGUGCUAUGCUUUGUCCAUCUGAGGAAUUUCUUGCAUUUCACAACCAACAGGAGGAUGUGGGUUCAGGAUUGUUUCCCAGCAGGGAUAUGAUGCAGCUCAAGCCCCAGACUAGGACACAAUGGCAUUCAGGUAUAACUCUAUAACACCUCCCUGACCCAUCUCCUGUAUCAUCUUCUCCUCAUUCUCCUUUCCAGGAGUUCACUGGCUUUCUCUCACCUUUGGUCUUGCUGAGGUUUGGUCUUAACUCUUUGGAGUUACAAGCACAUUUGUAACAUCCAGAACAGGUCCAUGUCUCAGGUGAGGCAAGUCAAGCCCUAGAAACUUGGCUGAGCCUGUCUCUUUCACUUCCCAGGAAAUGGUGUUCAUUUAUUCAUGUAAGCCUCCUUUUAAAACUCGUUUUGAGUUUUAUUCUCUCCAAAAGGCAGUUUUUUACUCUUGGGCAAUACCUUCUGGAUGCUGUUCCCUUGGUGGAGGUCCAGCCGCACCCUCGGGAGAUGGAGUGGCCACUCCCCAGCUGCAGUGAGAAAGUUUCCCUUCGCAUCGCCGAGAGCAGGCAGAAACAAAGAGCCGAGAGGAGGUGGGGAGGAGAAGGGAAGAAUGAGCUAGGUUAGGGGAAACAGCCUGGAAGAAAAGGAAAGGACCAGCUGAUCUGAAAGUCCCGAUAAAAACCCAAGACAAAGGCCAAAAGAGCCUGGGAGAUUAUCAGGGGAAGGGGGAGGAGGAGCAGAGAGAUUCAGCAGAACCUAAGUGGGAAUGAUGUAAAAUGCUGCAGGGAGGAGGGGAAUUUCCUACCUAAAGCAGAGAGUGGUUUACUCAACCACUUCCAUUUACUGGAAUCCAGCCCCUUUCUUUCUUCUGGCUGGGAGAACCCGACAGAGCUGCUCCAGCAGGAAAGAGUAUCCAUGUCCAUCCCAUAGCCCUGACAGCAUCAGCCCCGAUUGCUCAUCUGUUUCCAAGGACAGCUGAGACAUUUUGCUGGUGGGCAGAGAAGUCGGGGACACUGCAUGCAGCACCCUGCAGCAGAGGAAGCAUUAGUACUGCUGUUGUUAGCCUUGUUAUUUUCUCCUAAUAAAAAGGUGGUCGUGACUCACUCCAUUAAGAAACAAAAGCAGAGUUGUAAUCUACUGAAGGGCAGUUGUUUGGAUGCUCAGCAUUAGGCGUGGAAAAGGAGGAAGGUCAGCUACAGGUCAGGUCUGGUGAUAUACACCCUGCCACCAGCACGGGCCAAACUUCAGGUACUCCCCAGAGAACUGAUUUUCUGGGCUGGGGUAAUUUGCCCCGGCUUCAGAGGUAUCACUUCAGGUGGGAGUGUGGAAGGAGAAAAAGCUCUUUUUCUCACCCCUCCACAUUUCAGUUGGGUUUCCUGAGAGGAAAUGAUACUGUGACUGUGCUGGCCCCCUCCUUCCUCUUAGGAGGGAGGAGCACGCCAGCAUCUGCUCACAGCACCUCUUCCCCUCCCUAUGCCCCACUGGGACCAGUUUGCCAGCUGAGCUGUUCCUGGGCUCUGAGUCCCACGCAGAGAGGAAAAAGUGAUCCCUGAAGCUGGGGGCUGAGAGGCAGGAAAGGCAGGCUGUGUUCAGGUGGUGUGGAGGUUUCCUGUGUGAGCAGGACUAGGUCACAGCACCCCUGCCCAUGCCAGCUUUCCCAUCUAGUCCAUGAGAAGGCUUUCGGCACAGCUGUGGCGAUCCAGUUCUGACAGGAACCGUGCUGGGACACGGGUCUCACCCAGCCAUGUGGCUCUGACAAUGCCCAGCUGCCUCCCGGGGUGGGUGCGGGGCAAGGGAAGGAGCCAGGCUGCCGUGAUGGCAGUGGCCAGGUGAAGAGAACACCCACGCUGAGAUGUGCUGUGAACAUCUGCCCCUACCCACAAGCUACUUCUAUUUUUGUUCCAUCUCAUACCCUGGCUGACUCAGAGGAGGGGUGGGGGGGGGGGUCAGGUUAGAAGGAGCCAGAUGGGAGCACUGUAGGGGAAUUGAAAGAGGAAGAGGAGGAGGAGUUGCUUCAAAACCAGUAGUUGCCAUUCUUUCAAUCAGCUUGAACGUUUUCUUCGCACAGUCUCUUUUGUGCUUCUCUGUUUCAGCUGCAGGCAAUUUGAGGCAGGGAUGGCACUUCCUGCCUGCUGUUAAGGUGAGCAUUCUUUCAGGGCACCAUCAGAAUAAAUGACACGCUGCUCUUAGAUAGCUGCACUGUCAUCUGCCUGCGCUUUAAUGAGCUUGACUGGAGUUCACCCUUUUGCUUAACUUCUUCUAGGAAUUCCCACUCAUCGUUUUGGUGCCUUUACAAAACUGUCUACAAUGAAAGGAAUGAAAGGGCAAGUGCUGAAUUUCCUAAUUCCUGUGUGUCUUAGUGUCAUGACUUCUGGACACAGGCACAGUCAGUGGUCUGUGGUGUAAGUCUUGCAAGUCCUUGAGACACAAUCUUGCAGCCACAGGGAAAGGGACCAUCCCCUCAAACAACCAUAGCAGCAAUUUUUGUAUUUAUUGCCCUCUCAUCCUUGUCCCCAUUGCUCCAGAGCUUUCACUAAUUUUGCAGAAAUUACACAUCUUGCUUUGUCCCAGUCCACUACUCUUUGUUCCUUGGGCUAACUAACAGCAUCCUAGGGGUUGUUCCCCAGGCAACAACCUGGGGAUCAGGGUUCUCGCUGAUCACUCACUUCCAAAGCUGCCUUAAUGCAAACCAUGGCCUAAGCAGGGCACCCAACUCUUUCUGAGGGGAUCUAGGAGCGGGCAGCUCCCAUCCCGCGAGCAGCAGAGCUCUCGCAGGCAGGUCUGCCUGGGCUCAGGCUUUUCUGGGGGCGAGGAUACACAGUGAGGGGGGAAUAAAGGGAACUGAAACUCCAUUCGCAACCUGGUGUGAGAAGCUUGCCCUAGCGCUGCCCUUCCUUCCUCCCUUCCUUCCUUCCUCCCUUGUUUCCUUCCUUCUCCUCCGUCCCCCCGGCACGCUUCACUGCUCUCCUGACGCGCUGGGGAGGGGGCGGGGGUGAUGUCGGGAUGAGCCCCAGCCGAUGAGUGGAGAAUUUUUGCAGCGUUUUUCAGCUUCCUCUGCCUCCGAUGCUGACCUACCGCCGCUAGGGAGGGA